rnacentral:tRNA from 1 species
AAAAUUUUAAGUUAAGUUAAACUAAUAAUCUUCAAAAUUAUAAUUAAAUCUACAAGUUUAAAUUUUA